rnacentral:rRNA from 1 species
UAGUCCACGCCGUAAACGAUAUCAACUAGCCGUUGGGAGCAUUUAAGCUCUGAGUGGCGCAGCUAACGCGAUAAGUUGACCGCCUGGGGAGUACGCCGGCAACGGUAAAACUCAAAGGAAUUGACGGGGGCCCGCACAAGCGGUGGAGCAUGUGGUUUAAUUCGAUGCAACGCGAAGAACCUUACCUGGUCUUGACAUCCACAGAACUUGGCAGAGAUGCCUUGGUGCCUUCGGGAACUGUGAGACAGGUGCUGCAUGGCUGUCGUCAGCUCGUGUUGUGAAAUGUUGGGUUAAGUCCCGCAACGAGCGCAACCCUUAUCCUUUGUUGCCAGCGGUUAGGCCAGGAACUCUAAGGAGACUGCCGGUGACAAACCGGGAGGAAGGUGGGGAUGGACGUCAAGUCAUCAUGGCCCUCAUGGGCUUGGGGCUACACACGUGCUACAAUGGGUC